UGACCACUUACCUUCUAUGAGGAAGUCAAGGCCAUACGGACAGCCGGGUCAAAUGCCGA
rnacentral:sRNA from 17 species